AGAAAGCUAACGCUCUGUGAACAUUUAACAUAUGGAGUGAGGUCUCCCUCCCGUCAGCAUGUGGCUUCGGGAAAAAUAUAGACUGUUCUGUAGUACGUCUUUCACAUCCUCAGAACAGUCCUUCUUGACCCACAUCAGCCAUGGAGUAACCAGGCCUUGAGAUGGAGUACUCUGAGGUUGGGGUGAUGGACACACCUCGCAUUCUGUGACAGAAGGAACAACUAUGAACUAUUAAGCUUAUCUGAGGUAAGAGAAAGCGCUGCUGUCGCUCUGACUCAAGCCAAAGGUGGUACAGAAGGAACUGGGGGAGGCUUGGCUGCACACCACAAUGUAACCACUUGGAACGGCGCGAAACAGCUAUGGCGCAUGCACAGCUCAACUGGACACUGCUACUACAAAUCUCUGAUUACAAGUUCAGGGCGCCAAAAUACCUGAAGUGGAGCACCCACAGGGACACUCUUCA